rnacentral:rRNA from 1 species
GGUCAAGUGAAGAAGCGCAUACGGUGGAUGCCUUGGCAGUCAGAGGCGAUGAAAGACGUGGUAGCCUGCGAAAAGCUUCGGGGAGUCGGCA